AGUGAACGCUGGCGGUAGGCCUAACACAUGCAAGUCGAACGGCAGCACGGUGCGAUCUUGCUCUUACGGGUGGCGAAUGGCGGACGGGUGAGGAAUACAUCGGACUCUACUUUUUCGUGGGGGUUCACGUAGGGAAACUUACGCUAAUACCGCAUACGCCCUACGGGUGAAAGCAGUGGAUCUUCGGACCUUGCGGGAUUGAAUGAGCCGCUGUCGGAUUGGCUAGUUGGCGGGGUAAAGGCCCAGCAAGGCGACGAUCCGUAGCUGGUCUGGGAGGAUGGUCGGCCACACUGGAACUGAGCCACGGACCAGACUCCUGCGGGAGGCAGCAGUGGGGAAUAUUGGACAAUGGGCGCGAGCCUGAUCCAGCCAUACCGCGUGUGUGAAGAAGGCCUUCGGGUUGUAAAGCCCUUUUGUUGGGAGAGAAAAGCAGCAGGUUAAUACCCCGCUGUUCUGACGGUACCCAAAGAAUAAGCACCGGCUAACUUCGUG
rnacentral:rRNA from 1 species